UUAUUAUGUUUAUGCUCAGUUAAGAGACUAUGACAUUCUUAGACUAUAGUGUUUAAAAAUGGGUGUAAAAAACAGUAUUGUGCACAGGGUAAGGAAAUGAAUUGGGUCGGACCUCUAAAAAGAGCAUCCUUGCAUUUCAUUAAUGAUCCUUCCGCAGGUUCACCUACGGAAA
rnacentral:misc_RNA from 1 species